rnacentral:rRNA from 1 species
AUGGAGGAGGUGCUGCGCGGCAAGCGGAGCUGGGUGACAUCGCGCGGCUGGCUGCUCCUCUGGGACCCGGCGACGCUCGCCACCAUCCUGUGGAACCCGCGGGCCGCCGCCUCUGAUGGGAGUAGGGGCAAAUGCCUUGGGCCAAGUGGAGCCAUCGUUGACAUCGCCGUCUACAGGGUGGAUCUCGCGGGCAAGAGGUUUAUCAGGGUGGGCAGCAUUGGCGACCGGGCCAUCCUCGCCGGCGGCUCGAGCUACGCUUUCGCAGGCUGGUGCCCGGCCAACGAGUUUGGGCAGCUGCCCAACAGCGUGUACUGGAUACACCCCUACGACGGCCGCAUGUACGUGUACGAAGUUGGAUUCAAUACGGAGGAAGAAGUCCCGGGUUCGGCGGAUGACUCGCGUGCCGGCAAUCAGCACGAAGGCGGCAGAGAUCCCCGCGGACGACUUCUCGUGGCGCAAGUACGGCAGAAGCCGCCUGUGGAGAAUGCCCUGGACUCAGCAGUUGACGCAACUCGGUUGAGCUGCGGUGCACUAUAUUUAGCUGAUUUUAUUGGGAAGUGGUGGAACCAGGGAGGUGGGAAUAAUUUCAGUAUUAAAACUGUGGGGGAAAGCAGACACGUAGGCGGGGGCGGCCGCGAGAACUACGACAAGCGCAUGCACUGCCUGUCCAAGGAGGAGGUCGUCGUGCAUGCGCGGAUGCGUCGCCGGGCCCAGUUCUCCUGCCGCACCUUCCGCAACAUCAUCGUCCUCUCCAUCAUCACUGAGGUAGGUCCGCUGCGGGUGCUCGUGCUUCUGGUUGAUUCGUCCUGCUGCGCCGGUCUUUGUUCUGCAGGGCCAUGUCUGUUGGUGCCACGAAACGGCCGUGGCACUGCUUGUGUGAGCCACGACGGCGCUACCCGCGCGCCUGCCCUGAAACGCUGCCGCGAGCCGAGCCGCCGGCGUUCAUCUGGAGAAGCGCGGGAAGAAGAAGAUGGAAAGUGUAGUCUGCAAGCUUCUCAAAUCUGGGUACUCUUUGUGGGUUCUUGCAGGCACAAGCAAGGGAAGACCAUCGCUUCGCUCCUCUGGGCCGCCGCUGCUCCAACCCUACUGGACGCCAUGCAAGUAACUUUUUCCCGCCUUGCUGGAGGAGAUGAAGCACAUGGCAAAGCAGGAGUUCAUUGCGCACUUAAGAAGCCAACUUGUCGAUUUAUAGGUUACAUUAGACAGAACUUCUCUUAUAGAUCAAGUCAUGUUUCUCACCAUCCUCCUCAUCAUGUAGCAGAGGAGGCGUCCUGGAGCGCGGUGGAGGCAUUUUGGGCGUGGAGCAUGGCCCGGAGCAUGGCCUUGCGGUUCCUGGAGCCUAGGGAGGCCAUGCGAGAAACCUGGGGCAGCAAGAGCAGAGGCCUGCGGAGCGCUCCCUGGGGCAAGGCCUGGGGCGAUCUGCAGGGAGGAGCAGAGGCCUGGAGCUGCGGGCAGAAGAGGUCUGGAGCUGCAGGGAGGAGCAGAGGCCUGGAGCCAGCGGCGAGAUCUGGAGGCGACGACGAGAGGAAGGAGUGA